UUCUUCUUUCCAAAUCAACCAACAGUUAGCAUCGGUCAGCAUGGCAGAGUGGUCUAAUGCGUUAGACUUGAAUAUCCAUUACAUUCAGGUAUCUAAUUCCUUCGGGAGCGUAGGUUCGAACCCUACUGCUGACGAUAAUCUUUUGCAUUUUUCCACACCUCACCCAUCUC
rnacentral:tRNA from 2 species